GAUGAACGCUGGCGGCGUGCCUAAUACAUGCAAGUCGAGCGAACAGACGAGGAGCUUGCUCCUUUGACGUUAGCGGCGGACGGGUGAGUAACACGUGGAUAACCUACCUAUAAGACUGGGAUAACUUCGGGAAACCGGAGCUAAUACCGGAUAACAUGUUGAACCGCAUGGUUCAACAGUGAAAGACGGUCUUGCUGUCACUUAUAGAUGGAUCCGCGCCGCAUUAGCUAGUUGGUAAGGUAACGGCUUACCAAGGCAACGAUGCGUAGCCGACCUGAGAGGAUGAUCGGACACACUGGAACUGAGACACGGUCCAGACUCCUACGGGAGGCAGCAGUAGGGAAUCUUCCGCAAUGGGCGAAAGCCUGACGGAGCAACGCCGCGUGAGUGAAGAAGGUCUUCGGAUCGUAAAACUCUGUUAUUAGGGAAGAACAAAUGUGUAAGUAACUAUGCACGUCUUGACGGUACCUAAUCAGAAAGCCACGGCUAACUACGUG
rnacentral:rRNA from 1 species